ACUUAAAUAGUUUAAAUUAAAAAUAUUAAUUUGUGGUAUUAAUGAUAUAUAUAAAUUAUAUUUUAAGUU
rnacentral:tRNA from 1 species